AAUUUUUUUUUUUACAAAUUUUGAUCAGAUUAAACUCAAAACAAGUACUUACUCAAAAUCUGACCUAUUUUUAAAAUGAGUCUUAUUUAUUUGCUAAAAUCUAUUUUUUUAACUUAUGUUUUUUCAAAAUUCUGUUAUUUUCUGGCCGUGUUGAGUGUACCAACCAAUGAUGAAUGAUCAGGUGUAGGAGGAAGUAAGAGAAGUUAUGUCGGGAGGAAUAGCGCGUGGUUCACUUGCCGAGGAAUGAAAAGCAUAGAGGAAAAACCAUCCUCAUGAAUUUGUUGCGAAACCUAAGUCAUUAUUCCUGGUAAGUUAAAUUUUCUAUUUAGUUCCUUUAAUUUUUUUUUCUAUUAUUGGUUCAAUGGAUCGGACGGGUCUGUCUAUUAUUUUCACUUCUUGGCAAUUGGACACUGUGUUGUUCUUUUAAAAUUUAUGAUUUUGUUUUAGAUUGUUUCAUUUUGGUUAAAUUAGGCAGUCAUUUUGAGAUAAUAUUAGAGACGGAGCUGAAUUGAUCUAAUUGAAACCUAAGUCUUAUGCGAUUUAAGCUUGUAAAACAUAGACUGCAAAGACAUUGAUGGUUCUAAAAAUUUUAGUGAUGGGUUUAGUUUCACCGCGAUUAUUUGGAGGUUGUGCUAUAUAUGCAUUAUUUGUCGUACUUUUUUUAGAAAGUUUUAGGAAAAUGAUGAUUGAUGGGGAAGAA